rnacentral:tmRNA from 1 species
UAUUCGGAAUCAUCAAGUCGGUGAUGGGCUUCCGUCAGUUCCUGCUGCGCGGUCUGGCGAAUGUCCAGAACGAAUGGACCCUGGUGUGCCUGGCGUGGAACUUGAAACGCAUGGCCACGUUGCGCCCGCAUUCCGUUCAAAAUGCGUGAACAGAGGCUGAAUCCGCUCGAAUUCAGGAAAUUCAGGGCAACAACCGGUUAAAAACGCUCAAAUAGUGGGCAAUUCGCUUUGUCUUUGUCGCGCUCUGUCCAUUUAUGAAUUCAAGUCCGACAGGCUGCUAGGGGAUGCCUGUAAACCCGAAACGACUGUCAGAUAGAACAGGAUCGCCGCCAAGUUCGCUGUAGACGUAACGGCUAAAACUCAUACAGCUCGCUCCAAGCACCCUGCCACUCGGGCGGCGCGGAGUUAACUCAGUAGAGCUGGCUAAGCAUGUAGAACCGAUAGCGGAGAGCUGGCGGACGGGGGUUCAAAUCCCCCCGGCUCCACCA